rnacentral:rRNA from 1 species
UACAGAGGUCUCAAGCGUUGAUCGGAAUUAUUGGGCUUAAAGGGUGCGUAGGCGGCGCUGUAAGUGCCUUGUGAAAUCCCAUGGCUCAACCAUGGAAUUGCUCGGUAGACUGCAGCGCUUGAGGUUGGUAGGGGUCGCUGGAACUCUAGGUGGAGCGGUGAAAUGCGUAGAUAUCUAGAGGAACGCCAAAGGUGAAGACAAGCGACUGGGCCAAUUCUGACGCUGGAGGCACGAAAGCGUGGGUAGCGAACGGG